UCUCUCUCUCUCUCUCAUUCAAGAGCAGAUCGGCGACUUCACAGAUAAAGAGGUUGUUGGGUGCUAGCCUUGCUAGAGUCUGUUCAUUCCUCAUGAGGUUUCGACCCCUUUGUGGUUGGUGUAGAUGCUAAUGGCAAAGGCCAGGUGGUUGGUGUAGAUGCUAAUGGCAAGUUAAGAAUUAAAUUUCAGUGGAGAGAGGGGAGGCCAUGGAUUGGAGAUCCUGCCGAUAUUGCUCUUGAUACAAUUACCACUUCAUGAAAAAACUUUUACCUCUGCCUUUUGAACUCCUUUCAGUUUUACUCGAGAGCCUAUGGGGGUGGGCUUUUGGCCCCAUCCCAAUGGUGAGGUGGAAGAAGAAGCUGAUUCUGCUGCUGCUGAUGUAAUAGAAGAUUAUUAAAAUUUGCUUGAAACUGCAUCCAUUAUUACAGUGUGGACACCAUGCUGAUCAGAUGGAUGGAUGGAUUGAUUAAUAUUUGCCGAAGAGCAGAGAGAUGGAAAUAAUAUUUGACCUGCCUUCCCCUACAAUCAAUUGACAGAAUACAACGCAGCCAAGAGAAGGUAACAAAUAGUAUGUCAUUUUAUAAUUUUAAGGAGAUAAUGUUAUUUGUGGAGGUGAGUUCCAGUGGAGGACAUAUUUUUAUUUGGUUUUUAUUUCAUUAUGUACAAAUUGACUCAUUUGACCUUGUGAGUUAGUUGACUUUUUUUGGGGUCUCUAUAGAUGGGUGCUGUUGAUGAGUUUUCUUUUAUCGGUACUCUCAGCAUUAGCUCUUUUUGACCAAAAUUGGGGCUACUUUGGGAUGUGCAUUCUAACAUGUUCAAAAGUGAAUUUGCAAAUGACACAAAAGAAUGAAUGCACUUUUUUUUACACUGUUCUCUUUCUAUUGUUAGUAUUUUCUUUUGCAGCAUUAAUUCUUGAAGGCUACAAUAAUGGAAGUUUGGUGUUUGGGCUAGGUGUGGUUUAUGGCGGGGUUUUCACACAUUUUUUUUGUUGAUUUUUAUGAGGUCGGUCAUUUUUUUCCCUGCAUUACUUAAAGCUAUAUAGCGAUCCCGGUUAUCCUUUUACUGUUCUGUUAUUUUCCGGACGCAGUUCCGUGGAGUUGGCAGUUGUACCUAUCGUGUUUUAAACUCUUUUGUUCGAGUUUUAGAAUGUGUUGGGCUCGGUUGUUUCAGGUUGUUAGAGCUUUAGCUCCCAUUGUUGUGUGCCCAGUUUUU